GAUUAUAAAAGACCCUUAUCCUCUCUAUAAUCGCGGCUG
rnacentral:ncRNA from 1 species